UGAGUUUGAUCAUGGUUCAGGAUGAACGCUAGCGAUAGGCCUAACACAUGCAAGUCGAGGGGCAGCAUAGGGUAGCAAUACUUUGAUGGCGACCGGCGGAUGGGUGAGUAACACGUAUGCAACCUACCUACGACAUUGGGAUAACCCGUUGAAAGACGGACUAAUACCUUAUAAAACAGGGGCACCGCAUGGUGCUAUUUGUUAAAGAUUCAUCGGUUGUUGAUGGGCAUACGCAUGAUUAGCUAGUUGGAGAGGUAACGGCUCCCCAAGGCAACGAUCAUUAGGGGUUCUGAGAGGAAGGUCCCCCACACUGGUACUGAGAUACGGUCCAGACUCCUACGGGAGGCAGCAGUGAGGAAUAUUGGUCAAUGGGCGAUAGCCUGAACCAGCCACGUCGCGUGCAGGAAGAAUGUCUUAUGGAUUGUAAACUGCUUUUUCGGUAGAGUAAAGUGCGUCACGUGUGAUGCAUUGCAAGUAUACCGUGAAUAAGGAUCGGCUAACUCCGUGCCA
rnacentral:rRNA from 1 species